rnacentral:rRNA from 1 species
UAGUAACUGCGAGUGAAGCGGGAAAAGCUCAAAUUUAAAAUCUGGUGGUCUUUGGCCAUCCGAGUUGUAAUUUAGAGAAGCGUCUUCCGCGCUGGGCCGUGCACAAGUCUCCUGGAACGGAGCGUCAUAGAGGGUGAGAAUCCCGUCUUUGGCACGGACAUGCCAGGGCUUUUGUGAUGCGCUCUCGAAGAGUCGAGUUGUUUGGGAAUGCAGCUCAAAAUGGGUGGUGAACUCCAUCUAAAGCUAAAUAUUGGCGAGAGACCGAUAGCGAACAAGUACCGUGAGGGAAAGAUGAAAAGCACUUUGGAAAGAGAGUGAAACAGUACGUGAAAUUGUUGAAAGGGAAACGCUUGAAGUCAGUCGCGUCGACCGAGACUCAGCCUUGCCUUGGCUUGGUGUACUUCUCGGCUGACGGGUCAGCAUCAAUUUUGCCCCUUGGAUAAUGGCGAGGGAAAUGUGACACCUUUACGGUGUGUUAUAGUCUCUUGUCGCAUGCAAGGGUUGGGAUUGAGGAACUCAGCACGCGCCUUUGGGUGUCGGGGUUUUUGCCCACGAUACGUGCUUAGGAUGUUGGCGUAAUGGCUUUAAACGACCCGUCUUGAAACACGGACCAAGGAGUCUAACAUGCCUGCGAGUGUUCGGGUGGAAAACCCGUGCGCGCAAUGAAAGUGAAAGUUGGGACCUCUGUCGUGGAGGGCACUGACGCCCGGACCAGACCUUUUGUGACGGCUCUGCGGUAAAGCAUGUAUGUUAGGACCCGAAAGAUGGUGAACUAUGCCUGAAUAGGGUGAAGCCAGAGGAAACUCUGGUGGAGGCUCGUAGCGAUUCUGACGUGCAAAUCGAUCGUCAAAUUUGGGUAAAGGGGCGAAAGACUAAUCGAACCAUCUAGUAGCUGGUUC